GAAAUGCGAUAAGUAAUGUGAAUUGCAGAAUUCAGUGAAUCAUCGAAUCUGUGAACGCACCUUGCGCUCCUUGGUAUUCCUUGGAGCAUGCCUGUUUGAGUAUCAUGAAAUCUUCAAAGUAAAUCUUUUGUUAACUCAAUUGGUUUCUACUUUGGUAUUGGAGGUCUUUGCAGCUUCACACCUGCUCCUCUUUGUUCAUUAGCUGGAUCUCAGUGUUAUGCUUGGUUCCACUCGGCGUGAUAAGUUAUCUAUCGCUGAGGACACUGUAAAAGGUGGCCAAGGUAAAUGCAGAUGAACCGCUUCUAAUAGUCCAUUGACUUGGACAAUACUUUUAUGAUCUGAUCUCACAUCAGGUAGGACUACCCGCUGAACUUAAGC
rnacentral:misc_RNA from 1 species